CCCAGAGAGUCAAGUGCUGGCAAAAAUGCAAAUGGGGAUCUGCAGAAGGAAUAGAGACAUAAUUCAUACUAAUUUCCGCGAAAAGUUACAUGAGGCCUUUAAGAGUACAAAUCAUGCCUCCCCUGGUUCUGCAGACUUACUCGUUCAGCUCUUAUCUAUCGGGCGCUUCCUGUGCGCCAGGUGUGAGGUGGAUACCAGGAUCGAUCGUGAAUGAUACAGUGUUUGCCCUCGACAGCAUUCGACACGAAGGUCGAGUGACCGAUUCAGGCUCACACAGCUAGAGAGCAUUAAAUCCCGGGCUGUCCCCGGGGGCCGGUCCCCCUAGUGCCUGCCAACCAAGUGCCUCAUUGACUUCUGGAGUUGUCAGCCGUGCUUACUUUUAGUAAUCAUGGCUUUAAGAGACAACAUUUUCUUUGGGUGCCUAUCUCCGUUUAAGUUAGAGUUGUGAUUUCUGAGGGAUUUGCCGUAGUUUACCCUAAGAUUCCCCUUUAUGUGUUAAGGAAAGCUUUCUUACAGAUUCGAUUCAGCUCUUCUCUCUUCAUUGGGGCAGAUAUGAUCUGUGCUAUUGUGUUGUAGUUGCAUUCCUAAGAAGUCACUCUGAAUUAAAAAAAUCACUUUAAAAUAAUUAUUUCAGAAAGCAAAUAUGGGAUUUGGGUCUGGAGCAUUCAGACUCACAAUAAUAGAGUAAUUUUGCCUGGAGGCAUUUCAAUAAUACUGGUGUUUUUAUAGCUUUAAGUCUAUAGUUAUAAAGCUAAACAUCCCUAAGAAAAAUCCAGCCUCAAUGACAUCUAGCUUUUGAUCAAGAGGAAUGGCCUUUGUUUUUCGAUCCUCACCAAGACCAUCAUUGGCGCAAGGCUUCUUAGCCAUUUUUAUCACAUUUUUCACCCAUUGUUGGAUAAACAUAUCCCGAAGUUACUCAAACAAAGCAGCUGACACAGCAAGUUUCUUCCUCUUUGUCUGAGAUAAUGUUAGUUCUUGCAUUACAACCAUGUGUGUAAUGAAAAUCAUGUGUCUCAUUAUUUACUCAACAAGUGUUUUCCGAGGCCGACAUGGUCAGGCACUGAAUAAGGCCUGGGGAUGUAGUGGUAAGCAAGACAGACAAGUCCCUGUUGCCAUGGAGCUUGCAUUCCAAUCGAGGAGAUGGUCCAUGAACAGGUAAAUACACAAUAUGACGUCAUUUGGUGUGAAUGGUAUGGAGAAAAAUAAAAUAGAGUACGAGAGGGACCAGUGGCUAGAUCAUGCUGAGCCUUAGGGACAUUGAAAGGACUUUGGAUUUUUUUUGGAAACCAUUAGACGUUUUUGAGCAGAGGGAUGAUGCAGUAGGCUUGAUAUUUUAGGAGGCCUGCUCUGGCUGCCGUAGAACAGACUAUCGAAGGUUAAAGAGGGAUCGUUGGGGAAAAUUAGGAGGUUGUUGCCUAGUCCAGUUUCCUCUCUGAACCUGAAUCUGAGGCAAGGGCUUGUGUGUUGGUCAGUCUGUCUUGGAAAGUGAUCCAAGGGACGUAAGUGGAAGACGAGGAAGUGUUAGGUGAGAAAGAAGGCAAAGUCUACCCAGUUAUGUGGCAGGUGCUGGUGACUUCCAUAGACAACGGACCCUGUCUGUCACCAGGGACCUGUAAAGGCCAGGUGGGGAUACACUGAAUUGUUCAGCCCUCAGCCCUUUGGUGGAGGGUCGCCCACUGGCAUGUUGACUCCCCUGCACUACGAGGUUCGUGCAUGAAGCAGAGUGACGAGCAGCGCCUGCAGUCACCCGCACUCCCAGCAAGAGUUCCUGCGGAAGCAAGAGUUCUGUGGAGCCGUGGGGCCUGAGGAAGGCAGCUCUCCCCAAGAGGCACCCGAUGCAGAAGCUCGCGCAGCAGGAAGGACGGGAGCUUGGGUUUGGGGGGCAGUAGCAAGGUGGUGACAGUGGCCACAUCCAUGGGUUGGACCCAAACUACAUAGUGAAAAUUUGCAUUGGAAUAAGAAGCGUCCGUAUAUCUCCCGGUGCAGCCGGCUGCUGAUCUCGCUCCACCCGCGUCCGUGGUCUUUCCACUCCGUGGUCCUGCCCGCAAGCCCGCACACGCAGCUUUCUGUUUGUCCGCCUCAAAGUUUACCAUUUAGCACAACCAGACUGAUGAGCAAAGAUCUAAUAACCCGCAGACAAGCCUCUUUCGCCUUAUGUGUCUUCUGUGUUUAACACAUUUGACAGAUUGUGGAGGCAGACAAAGGUGAUGGAAGGGGAACUGGCGUGACCUUGCUGCGUCCUUGGGAACUAUACCGCAGAAGAAUGCCCUCUGCUUUAGACAAGCGUCUAAAAGGGUAGAAGACUUACGGACAAGUUUUCGAAAUGUCUGUUUAAAGAUUGAAAAACAAAAGAGUACCCCAGCCCUGGUCACGGUUAUUUAGGUUUCUUGUGUUGGGCUAGUCCAAGGGCAGGAGUAAAACGUUCAUGGCAUGAAACUCAACAUUUUGAAAAGUAAUAUGCAUUGGAGUGUUUCUCAGGAAAAGAAGAACAUCUGUAACUGGUUUCGAGAAAUGUCCUUGCGGAUGAAGGUGCCUAGGAGAGUGAUUCUGGAGAAGGAUAGGCCAAAGGAUGCUGGCAGAAGCCACAGUGAAAACGGAGCUCUCCAAGCAGGAAGAGGCAUCGUCAGCGUGGUCUUCAUCAUCAUCGUCCUCAUCGCUAGCGCCAGCAGACUGAGGAGACCCACCAGACCACUGAGUGCUCCUGGGCAUCACUUACCACGACAAACAUUGCACGCGGCUAAGGAACACGUUCUUUACCCCCAUUUAAUAGAUUAGGAAACCGAAGCUUAGAAUCCCAUGGUUAGUAAGGUGGAGCUGGAAUUCAGAAGAAGAAAUGGAGAUUUUAUUGGAAAGGAGUGGAGUAGAGGUGGGAAGGACUUACCCUGGGGAUCGCUGGAUCACAUCGAAGACUCCUAUCAACCCUCCUCCCAUCAAGGAGUAGGUGCCAGUUCCCAGCCUCUUGAACCUGGUCCUGUGGCCUGCUUCGGCCUGCCACGUCUGAGCCUAGGCCUCGGCAGUCUCAUAUGCUUCCACUCCCUCUCCUGGAAUUCUGCGCAGCUGCUUGCGAAUGCAUUCAGUGGAAAAUGAGACACGACGCAGGACCGAGAUAAUUCCACCGAGGGGAUGCUAGACCAGCCAGCUUCUAAUCCACCGAUGGCUGGCUGCAGAAGAUGUAUGAGCCAAUCCUUCCCAGACCAGGAGAGAGGCCCAGCUUAGCCAAGCGCAAGCUGCUGAGCUCCAGAAUUUUGAGAUGAAUAAAUGGGAACGUAAGACACUCACCUUCCUCGAGGCCGUCUUGGUCUAAUGGAGGAGGCUGGCAAGCGGCGGUGACAGUGUGGUUACUCACUGGGGUCACCGAGGGACCAGAGGUGACUGAGAGCCUAGAGGGCGGACGUCUAACCCAGACCCACUACCCGAAAAAAGAUUCCUGGUGGAGACAACCUCGGAACUGAGCUCUGUGAGAUGCCUACUGAGCCAGAAAAACAAACAGCGCUCCUUGGAUCCACGCAACCUGCAAGAGAACCAAACAGUCUCCACACCCACUUAGAGCCAUGGUGUGAGACAGAGGGCUGUCAAAGGCCAGCCCUGAACUAGAACCAGAUGGGAGAAGAUUCAUGCCAGAGACCAUCAUCCAAACCUCUUGAUUUCCAGUGAUCAGCAGUUGAGUGUUCAGAGAAAGUGCAUUUGAUAGCUUAGUCACAACUGGAUCAACUGAAAUAACAAUGCAAGGAGAAAGAUUUUAUUCAUUCAUUUAUGAAAGACACUCAGAGAGAGGCAGAGACACAGGCGG